AGAGUUUGAUCCUGGCUCAGGACGAACGCUGGCGGCGUGCUUAACACAUGCAAGUCGAACGGAGUUUACGAGACGGAAGCCUUCGGGUGGAAGGCUGUAAACUGAGUGGCGGACGGGUGAGUAACGCGUGAGCAAUUUGCCCUUUGGAGGGGAAUAACAGCCGGAAACGGUUGCUAAUACCGCAUAAGACACAACGGAGGCAUCUCUGAUGUGUGAAAGGAGAAAUU
rnacentral:rRNA from 1 species